CCUACGGGAGGCUGCAGUGAGGAAUAUUGGUCAAUGGGCGCGAGCCUGAACCAGCCAAGUCGCGUGAGGGAUGACGGUCCUACGGAUUGUAAACCUCUUUUGCCGGGGAGCAAGCGUUCGUUCGUGAACGCGCGUCGAGAGUACCCGGAGAAAAAGCAUCGGCUAACUCCGUGCCAGCAGCCGCGGUAAUACGGAGGAUGCGAGCGUUAUCCGGAUUUAUUGGGUUUAUAGGGUGCGUAGGCGGGAUGCCAAGUCAGCGGUAAAAGUGCGGUGCUCAACGCCGUCGAGCCGUUGAAACGGGCGUUCUUGAGUGGGCGAGAGGUAUGCGGAAUGCGUGGUGUAGCGGUGAAAUGCAUAGAUAUCACGAAGAACACCGGUGGCGAAGGCAGCAUACCGGCG
rnacentral:rRNA from 1 species